rnacentral:lncRNA from 1 species
CCGGAAUUAAAAUAAAAUGGCUGUCCGGGGAAGUAUGUCAUCACGCUACCCAGCUAUGCCAUACCCUUCUUAGCAUUCCCUCUAGGAAUCUUGGAGGACCCUGUCCUCUUGGUUGUUCCAAUGAGACCAGCCGGGAAGAGAGAAGACUGGCCACACUCGUCUUACUCCUGCGGCUGCCGUGACGUCCCACAAGGCCCAAGGCCCACACUCAUCCUCAUGUGCUCCUCCCCAGACACCCAGCACCCUGCCAUGAUGCCCCGUCCACAGGGCACCCACUGGUCAGCCACACCCCACCAAGGCCAGAAUUUCCCCAGCACCCUUGGGCCCUGUGCCACCCCAGCCAUUCCACCCGUGGUAAUUUUAUCUCCAGUCCUAGGUGGUUGGAUCCUAGGGUAACUUUACUGAUCACCCCCAAAAUCUUUGAAUACGAGAGAGCAAGUAUUAAGGUGUCACUCCCUGCUUACCACAAAAUACGGGGUUGGGUAGGUAUUCUGAGGCCAAAUCAAAAGAAUCUAUGCCACAGUGGGUAGUAUAAUAUCCAUUGUAGAACAGUGGUUUCGUUUUAGCAAAGCGUUACUGUUCCUAAUGUUAAAUUGAUGCAAUUUGAGUAUAACUGAAUUUGAAGUUUCCACUGUAAUUCUGUAAUAACUUAUAAAUAUGGAAUUUAUUAUUGUCAG